rnacentral:rRNA from 1 species
AGUGAACGCUGGCGGUAGGCCUAACACAUGCAAGUCGAACGGCAGCACAGUAAGAGCUUGCUCUUACGGGUGGCGAGUGGCGGACGGGUUAGGAAUACAUCGGAAUCUACUUUUUCGUGGGGGAUAACGUAGGGAAACUUACGCUAAUACCGCAUACGACCUACGGGUGAAAGCAGGGGAUCUUCGGACCUUGCGCGAUUGAAUGAGCCGAUGUCGGAUUAGCUAGUUGGCGGGGUAAAGGCCCACCAAGGCGACGAUCCGUAGCUGGUCUGAGAGGAUGAUCAGCCACACUGGAACUGAGACACGGUCCAGACUCCUACGGGAGGCAGCAGUGGGGAAUAUUGGACAAUGGGCGCAAGCCUGAUCCAGCCAUACCGCGUGGGUGAAGAAGGCCUUCGGGUUGUAAAGCCCUUUUGUUGGGAAAGAAAAGCAGCAGGUGAAUACCCCGCUGUUCUGACGGUACCCAAAGAAUAAGCACCGGCUAACUUCGUG